CUCUGAACAGCUUGGCAGGCAGCUCUGUCUGCCCAGUCUUGGAAGAGGAGCUGCAUUUCACCAAGCUGCAGCUGACAAGAAGCUUCAAGACAGCUUAGGUGAAUAUCUCAGGUGCACGUGACUUGGGCAAUCUGUGUGUGGUGUCAGGUGAAUCCCUAUGAGGCAGUGCAGCCACUGAAGUGCCCCUCAGGGUGAAGGCUCUGUUGGACUAGCACAUAGAGUGAAAAUCAAGGCAGUUCUCAUCCACAUGACAGAGGAAUUAUCCUAUUCAAACGUGUUCAACAUCUUGGAGAAAUUGUAAUUGAAGAGAAGAGGCCCCAUAAGUCAUACACCGUUGGUGGUCCAGCCUCAAAAGAGA